rnacentral:rRNA from 1 species
AGAACGAACGCUGGCGGCGGGGUUUAGGCAUGCAAGUCGAGCGAGAAAGCCGAAAGGCAAGUAAAGCGGCGUAAGGGUGAGUAAUGGUUAGUCAACGUACCGAGCAGACGCGAAUAAUUUCUCGAAAGGGAUUGUAAUGCGCGAUGAGACCACAUGGCCUACGGGCUGAGAGGUCAAAGGUCGGGGAUCCUUCGGGACCUGGCGCUGUUUGAGCGGACUAACUCUGAUUAGCUAGUUGGCGGGGUAACGGCCCACCAAGGCGAUGAUCAGUAGCCGGUCUGAGAGGAUGUCCGGCCACACUGGGACUGAGACACUGCCCAGACUCCUACGGGAGGCUGCAGUCGCGAAUCAUUCACAAUGGGCGCAAGCCUGAUGAUGCCACGCCGCGUGCGGGAUGAAGGCCCUCUGGGUUGUAAACCGCUGUCAAGGGAGGGGAAACGUAGUGGUGUUAACAGCGCCAUGCUUGACUGCUCCCUAAAGGAGCCCCGGCAAA